rnacentral:rRNA from 1 species
CACGUAGGGAGCAAGCGUUGUCCGGAUUUAUUGGGCGUAAAGAGCUCGUAGGCUGUUCGAUAAGUCGGGUGUGAAACCUCCAGGCUCAACCUGGAGACGCCACCCGAUACUGUCAUGACUAGAGUCCGGUAGGGGAGCGUGGAAUUCCUGGUGUAGCGGUGAAAUGCGCGGAUAUCAGGAGGAACACCGGUGGCGAAGGCGGGUCUCUGGGCCGAUACUGACGCUGAGGAGCGAAAGCGUGGGGAGCGAACAGG